rnacentral:rRNA from 1 species
UACGUAGGUGGCAAGCGUUAUCCGGAAUUAUUGGGCGUAAAGAGUGAGCAGGCGGCAUGAUAAGUCUGAGGUUAAAGCGUGGGGCUCAACCCCAUAAAGCCUUGGAAACUGCCAAGCUAGAGUACGGCAGAAGUGAAGGGAACUCCAUGUGUAGCGGUGAAAUGCGUAGAUAUAUGGAAGAACACCAGUGGCGAAGGCGCUUCACUAGGCCGAAACCGACGCUCAGUCACGAAAGCGUGGGGAGCAAAUA